GGAAGUGGAUCAAGCGGUAGGGCGCUCGCCUGGCAUGCGUGCAGCCGGGGUUCGAUCCUCAGCACCA
rnacentral:tRNA from 1 species